GUCAAGAUGCGCGGGGAUAAAUCCUUUGCAAACGACUUAAAUGUACAACGGAGUAUUGUAAGCAGUAGAGUAGCCUUGUUGUUACGAUCUGCUGAGAUUAAGCUUCAGUUGUCCGAUUUGU
rnacentral:rRNA from 1 species